rnacentral:rRNA from 1 species
AGAGUUUGAUCCUGGCUCAGGACGAACGCUGGCGGCGUGCUUAACACAUGCAAGUCGAACGGAAAGGCCCUUCGGGGUACUCGAGUGGCGAACGGGUGAGUAACACGUGGGUGAUCUGCCCUGCACUUUGGGAUAAGCCUGGGAAACUGGGUCUAAUACCGAAUAGGACCACGCGCUUCAUGGUGUGUGGUGGAAAGCUUUUGCGGUGUGGGAUGGGCCCGCGGCCUAUCAGCUUGUUGGUGGGGUAAUGGCCUACCAAGGCGACGACGGGUAGCCGGCCUGAGAGGGUGACCGGCCACACUGGGACUGAGAUACGGCCCAGACUCCUACGGGAGGCAGCAGUGGGGAAUAUUGCACAAUGGGCGCAAGCCUGAUGCAGCGACGCCGCGUGAGGGAUGACGGCCUUCGGGUUGUAAACCUCUUUCAAUAGGGACGAAGCGCAAGUGACGGUACCUAUAGAAGAAGCACCGGCCAACUACGUGCCAGCAGCCGCGGUAAUACGUAGGGUGCGAGCGUUGUCCGGAAUUACUGGGCGUAAAGAGCUCGUAGGUGGUUUGUCGCGUUGUUCGUGAAAACUCACAGCUUAACUGUGGGCGUGCGGGCGAUACGGGCAGACUAGAGUACUGCAGGGGAGACUGGAAUUCCUGGUGUAGCGGUGGAAUGCGCAGAUAUCAGGAGGAACACCGGUGGCGAAGGCGGGUCUCUGGGCAGUAACUGACGCUGAGGAGCGAGAGCGUGGGGAGCGAACAGGAUUAGAUACCCUGGUAGUCCAA